UUAGGAAUCUUGGACAAUGGGCGCAAGCCUGAUCCAGCCAUGCCGCGUGAGUGAUGAAGGCCCUAGGGUUGUAAAGCUCUUUCAGCGGGGAAGAUAAUGACGGUACCCGCAGAAGAAGCCCCGGCUAACUUCGUGCCAGCAGCCGCGGUAAUACGAAGGGGGCUAGCGUUGCUCGGAAUCACUGGGCGUAAAGCGCACGUAGGCGGCUUUCUAAGUCAGGGGUGAAAUCCCGGAGCUCAACUCCGGAACUGCCUUUGAUACUGGAAAGCUUGAGUCCGGGAGAGGUGAGUGGAACUGCGAGUGUAGAGGUGAAAUUCGUAGAUAUUCGCAAGAACACCAGUGGCGAAGGCGGCUCACUGGCCCGGUACUGACGCUGAGGUGCGAAAGCGUGGGGAGCAAACA
rnacentral:rRNA from 1 species